rnacentral:snRNA from 1 species
GUACUUGCCUCACCAGCACAUACACUAAAACUGGAACGAAACAGAGAUUAGCAUGGCCCCUGCGCAAGGAUGACACACAAAUUCGCAAAGCAUUCCACAUUUUA